ACGGCCGAUAACGCGCAGGGGGGGACGCAGGCGGCGGACCGGCCGGAGUAGUGGCGCUCACGGCGGCGCCAUAGGGGCACCUCGCCGGAGUUCGAGAAACUCCGCUACGGUUUGCCAAACUCGAAACCGAGAUCAUGGGAACGAAGCUGGGAUCGAUGCGAGCUCACCUGAGCAGUUUGUUCGGGCCGAGGGCUAGCGGGGAGGCGUGUCCACGCGCGGCGGCGGUAGAGAACUCCCGUGAGAUCUAAAUCCAAUGAAACCCGACGCUAGGGCUCGGAUUGAACGGCUUGGGCGCUAAAGGAAACCCGCGGGGUGGAGAAGAAUCUUUAUAGGGGUUCGGGAAGAUCUUCCAUGCGAUUAAUCCCGUCCAAAACGGGAUUCGUUGCCUGCCUAGAGUCCCGGUCGGCUGGGAAGAAGAAAGGAAGGGAAGGGGAAGACGCUGACAAUCGGGGCCGGGUUGUCAGCGAUAGAAGGGGCAGGGCCCGGUCGCCAGGGAGAAGAGGGGGAAGGGAAGGGAAAUGGGCCGCUUGCGCGGUCCUGGGCCGAGGGGGAGGAAUCAAGGGGGGCAGGCUAGGCCGAGAGGGGACAGGGCGCGCGCGUCUGGCCUGCUGCUGGGCUGUGAGCUGGGAAGGAGCUGGGCCUCGGCCACAGGUCCAGGCCGAGAGCAGGUAAGUUCUCUUUUUUUUUCUUUUUUUUUGUUUCUUUUUAUUUCAAAGUCUUUUCAAAGCAGUUUUCAAAUCAAUUUGAAAAUAUUUUGACUUUGAUCAAAACCACACAUUGAAUAAAACAUAUGCUCCAAUAUGAAUGCACAACCAUGUUGCUAAAUCCUACAAUAAAUUUUAAAUUUAAUGAAAAUAUUAUUUUUCUAUGUUUCAUGAGCAUCAAAAAUACCAUAAUUAAAUCAAUUUAGCUUUAUUUCCAAAGGACAAAUUUUUGGGUGUCACACUUAUCUAAACAGUAUCUUAACGUGCAUAAGGAUAAAAGGGUUGUGGUGCAUGGCUUCUAGUAUACUCCCUCCGUCCUUGAAAACUGUAAUUUCUAGAGUUGUCCUAAGUCAAAUUUUUAAAACUUUGACCAAAUUUAUAGAAAAAAACGCUAAGAUUUAUAGUACCAAAUUAAUACCAUUAGAUUUAUCAUUGAAUAUAUUUUCAUAAGAUACUCAUUUUAUGUUAUACAUAUUGAUACUCUUUUCUAUAAAGUUGGUCAAAGUUAAACAAGUUUGACUGGUACGGAUUCUAGGAAUUGAAGUUUUCAGAGACAGAGGGAGUAAUAUACAGUAUAUAGCUGUAUAAUUUUAUAAUACGGCGUUGGAGGCCAAGCAACUGCCCAAGUGCGCAACAGCUAAAAUGAUAUAAAAAACGAGCCUAGCUAAUCAUGCUCUCAAACAAAGAUCCAACCACACAGAGAUAAAGAUAUACGAUACCAAGACAUGAGAAAGAGGGCGCCGAAAGGUCAAAUACUCAAAUCCAACCCGGGAACAAGAACCAAGAAGCUCCAACCAGAUUUCUCCGGCCGGCG
rnacentral:lncRNA from 1 species